rnacentral:rRNA from 1 species
GACGAACGCUGGCGGCGUGCUUAACACAUGCCAGUCGAACGGAAAGGCCCUGCUUUUGUGGGGUGCUCGAGUGGCGAACGGGUGAGUAACACGUGAGUAACCUGCCCUUGACUUUGGGAUAACUUCAGGAAACUGGGGCUAAUACCGGAUAGGAGCUCCUGCUGCAUGGUGGGGGUUGGAAAGUUUCGGCGGUUGGGGAUGGACUCGCGGCUUAUCAGCUUGUUGGUGGGGUAGUGGCUUACCAAGGCUUUGACGGGUAGCCGGCCUGAGAGGGUGACCGGCCACAUUGGGACUGAGAUACGGCCCAGACUCCUACGGGAGGCAGCAGUGGGGAAUAUUGCACAAUGGGCGGAAGCCUGAUGCAGCAACGCCGCGUGCGGGAUGACGGCCUUCGGGUUGUAAACCGCUUUCGCCUGUGAUGAAGCGUGAGUGACGGUAAUGGGUAAAGAAGCGCCGGCUAACUACGUG